rnacentral:rRNA from 1 species
UUGGUUAAGCUACUAAGAGCACACGGAGGAUGCCUAGGCGCUAGGAGCCGAAGAAGGACGUGGCGAACAACGAAACUGCCUCGGGGAGCUGUAAGCAAGCUUUGAUCCGGGGAUGUCCGAAUGGGGAAACCCGGCUGGUGUAAUAGCCAGUCACUCAUAACUGAAUACAUAGGUUAUGCAGAGGCAUACCAGGGGAACUGAAACAUCUAAGUACCCUGAGGAAGAGAAAACAAGAGUGAUUCCGUCAGUAGCGGCGAGCGAACGCGGAACAGCCUAAACCGAAGAGCUUGCUCUUCGGGGUUGUGGGACGUCUCACAUGGAGUUACAAAGGAAUGUAUUAGGCGAAGAGGUCUGGAAAGGCCCGCUAGAAGAGGUAAAAGCCCUGUAGCUGAAAGUACAUUCUCUCCGAGACGGAUCCCGAGUAGUGCGGGGCACGUGAAACCCCGUAUGAAUCUGCCAGGACCAUCUGGUAAGGCUAAAUACUCCCUAGCGACCGAUAGUGAAGCAGUACCGUGAGGGAAAGGUGAAAAGCACCCCGGGAGGGGAGUGAAAUAGAACCUGAAACCGUGUGCUUACAAGAAGUCAGAGCCCGAUUCUUAAGGGUGAUGGCGUGCCUUUUGUAGAAUGAACCGGCGAGUUACGUUCCCAAGCAAGGUUAAGGUGAGAAGCCGUAGCCGCAGCGAAAGCGAGGGUGAUGGCGUGCCUUUUGUAGAAUGAACCGGCGAGUUACGUUCCCAAGCAAGGUUAAGGUGAGAAGCCGUAGCCGCAGCGAAAGCGAGUCUGAAUAGGGCGAUUUUAGUUUGUGGACGUAGACCCGAAACCGUGUGAUCUACCCCUGUCCAGGGUGAAGGUGCGGUAACACGCACUGGAGGCCCGAACCCACGUACGUUGAAAAGUGCGGGGAUGAGGUGGGGGUAGCGGAGAAAUUCCAAUCGAACUCGGAGAUAGCUGGUUCUCCCCGAAAUAGCUUUAGGGCUAGCCUCGGAAAUGAACAGUCGUGGAGGUAGAGCACUGAUUGGGUGCGGGGCCCGCAAGGGUUACCAAGCUCAGUCAAACUCCGAAUGCCAUAGACUGAUUAUCCGGGAGUCAGACAGUGAGUGCUAAGAUCCAUUGUCAAAAGGGAAACAGCCCAGACCAUCAGCUAAGGUCCCCAAGUGUGUGUUAAGUGGGAAAGGAUGUGGAGUUGCACAGACAACCAGGAUGUUGGCUUAGAAGCAGCCACCAUUUAAAGAGUGCGUAAUAGCUCACUGGUCGAGUGACUCUGCGCCGAAAAUGUAACGGGGCUAAACACACCACCGAAGCUAUGGCUUGA